CACCCCUGAAGGUAAAUGAAGUAUUAUUUGAGGUUGGUAUUGUAUCUGAAGGUAAAUGAAGUAUUAUUUGAGGUUGUAUUGUAUGUGAAGGAAGUGAAGUAUAUUGAUAAAUGCAGCAUGCCAUAUACAUUGCAUGAUUCACUUGCAUCUGAAGUUGGGUCGUGACCUAUGGUCCGACCGUACCGGUACAACUUAGCAUCGUACGUUGCCCGAGGAGGGGUACGAUGCGGCUUCAUACCCUUAGAGGUAUGAAGGCAGAGGACAUAUGCAUUGCAUUCAUAUGCAUUCAUUGAAGUGAUAUUUGCAUAUGAUGUGGUUUUAUACCCUCAGAGGUAUGAAGACAGAGUACCUACACUUUGUGUUCCUAUGCAUACAUUGAAGUGAUAUUUGCAGGUAUUGUUGACGCAGAGAAGUGUUAUACAAACUAUUGUGGUUGUUUAAGGAAAUGAGAUGGUAUUGGUUAUAUUGAGACUACUGAGUUCUAUAUCUACAAGAAUUUCUGAUCUUAAUUGUGAUUAUUUUAAAAUGUUGAUUAAUUCAAUUUGUGGUUUAAAUAUCUUAUCAAAACAAUUCGCUUGCUGAGAUGUUUCAUCUCACUCUUGCAUUACUCAAUGCAGGUGCUUGUUGCUCAUCAAGGGAAGUGGGAAGUAGCAGCACAUCCACCUUCACUCUCAUAAUAACGCUGCUUAGGCGCAAUCAUGAUUUAAUUAGAAACUUCUUGUUAAAGGAUGUUGUUUCUAACUAGUUGUGCGCACUGGUUGAUUUAGUUCAUGCCGUUAUGGUUGUCUUUCCAUUGCUAGCAGAUUAUUAAUGUCUAUUAUGUUCUCUUAUCAUGAUAUCUGUUUAUAUUUUGUUGCUUCCCCAUUUAUGUAAUUUUCAAAGGGGAUGCUGUCGAAAUUUUAUAUAUGAAUGUUAGAUGUGUAGUUUAGUAGCAUUCUGGGUGUUUGAGGAUCUUGGGGUGUUACAGUUGGUAUCAAAGCAUAGGCUUUAGAUUCUUGGCAAUUUGAAGAUAAAUUUGACACACUCGCACAUAUAGGAAGGGUAUGGGUUUAAAUAUCUUUGAUAUAUGUUAGUGUCUUUGAAGUGCAGAUGACAAUAACCUCACCCCUCCCUAUUCCUUUACGGUGAUGUGGUAAGUUGUUUAUGGCUUAAUGCUUGAUAUAAUUUAUUUCUGAAAUUUUAAUAUUGUUUGUUUAAUGCUGUAGAUAUCGCUGGUCAUUUGUGAGAAUGAAGUUGUUAUUAUGCUUGUGAUAUACAAGUAUGCCUAUCUUGUUUUCACCAUGUUUUUCAUGGUUGAGUUUUAUUACAAUAAUAUUGUUAUAUAUGCCUUAUUGAGGAUGUUUCUAAGAGGAGUGUGAAUUGCGUGUUUUGGGGUACAAGGUAAUCAUCAAUUUGAAUUUAAGUUGUUGAGCGGUUGGUGGAUAGCUCCAACUAUCUUUGCAAAGAAUGAUUGUUUAUGUUGAGAAACCAGUUCUCAAAGAAAUGAAUAUUGGUACUUUUAUAUGGAUUUUUGGGGGAAGUCUUUACAUAGCCAGAAUGGCUUACAUGUCUCUCUCUUCUAUCGUGUGUUUUAGUAGCCACAAAGCCUAGAUGUGGUUUAAAGUGGUUGCAUGUUAGUCAUGCUAAUUGUAGAAUAAAUCUUUGAUUUUUCUUGAUCCAUUGAUUAUGUAUUAAUACGUUGAGGAUGUGAUGGUUCUCUUCCCGAUGCAUGUUUGUGGAGCCAUUGUCGGACCACUUAUCUAUUGGUUUGAAUGAAGUCAUUGCCUAGCCUAGAGUUGGUUGUGUGUGGUUAGUCACCUAUUCCUAGAUGAUGUGGUUUUAACAUCAGCUUGGGAUGUUUUCCAAAUGUGUGAAGGAUUACGGGGCUAUGAUUGACCUUUUAUGUCUGGUACUCGGAGUGCAUCAUAUGAUAGAAUGAAAUGUAAGUUUCUGAACUACAGUAGAUGAAGACUUAUAUUAUGUGUAGGUUAACCUUACUAGUUUGGAUAUUUUUCUUAGUUGAGUUGUUGGAUGAAGUAUAGUGACAUGGGUUAAGCAAGUAUUGUGUUGUCGUUGGGCUGUCAGUGCUCUAUGUGGAGUUUUUGGCAUUUCUUCGAUGAACUGUGCCACACAUAAUGUUAUUGGCUUCUUGUCGGUUUUAUUGCUCCAUUAGUUCUGUAGAUUUUCUCCCUUUCGGUGGGGUGCAAAGAAUGUUAGAUUACAUGAUUAUCUUUUCAUUAUGGCAAGAACAAGGUUUAGGAAGAUUUGGAGUUUUGUUUCAAUAGAACUAAUUCUUUCGUGGUGCUGUGAGGUGAGGUGUUUGAUCUUCUUAUACAUUCAUCUGGUGUGGAUGUUUCACCAUUAAAUUAAAAUGAAUUGUUGAAGUUGGUAAAGGUUGUGCUUAGUGCAUAUUACCCCUUCAUCAAAGAGUGUCGUUUUAAGACAUUGAUGAGGAUGUAUGGCUGCAUCCAAAUUCGAUGUUGUGAAAUCGUAGUGUUGAUUGCAUCUAUGACUUGGUUUGAGCUUCAUUACAUGUUGGUUCAUGCUUGAUGUCAGGUGGUCUAGUUUCCUUAGACAUUUAGUCUGAGGUCGAAGUUCUUGUGUUAAUUAAGACCAAUAAUGGACCCAUGUUUUGGAAUGGUGGUGUUAUAUGGGGUACCAUGGAUGUUUUGUUUGGAGUGGACGAAUUCGAGGACGAAUUCCGUUUAAGGGGGGUAGAGUGUAAUAUCCCAAAAAAUGUUGCCAAAGGUUGAUCUUCGGUGCGUGGAUAUGGGAAAAGGGUUGUGGGCCGUUGGAUGCUAAGUCGGAGUCAUCUGUGGCGUCGCUUCUUUUCUCCCGCAAAGAAAACCCUAGUGGUGGCCUUUUCCCCCUUUUGCCCCUACUUGGCCGCCACCCCUUUCCCCCCCUCCCACACUUGGCCGCCCCUCUCUCCUUUUCCCUUGGGCUGGCUGUCCUCUCCUCCCAUGGCAGCCCCUCUCGACGGCUUCCUCCUCCCUCUAGAUCUCCCCCCGCGCAGCAAGGAUCGAGAAGAGGAGGAGCACAUUGAGUUGAAGGGGAAGAGAGGAUCAAGGAGAUGUUCUUCCCCAUCUCUUCUUGCAGAAUUUCUUGGGGAAACCCUAGGUAUGGAUGAGAUCCUUGUUCCUCCCUGUAAUUAUGUGCUUUUGGAGGUUGUGGAUCAUGGGAAUUAAAGGAUUAGAGGUUGGAUUAGAUGUGGGGUUAGGUUUUGAUCUCGAAUUUAGUUUUCUGCAGAAUGGCAGAUUCGACAGUUUCUGUUAAUCCCAGUUUUCCGUGGUCUUAUAGGCCUCAAAAAAAUAAAAAGUCUAUAUAUAAGUGGUAGAUAAUUUGUAGAUCUUUCCGUGGCCGCGAAGAACACCUCAAUCGGACAUCAGAUCAGAGAGUUAUUGCAGUUUGAUUAUAGCAGUUUUUCAGUCUCUUAAUUCUGUGCAGAAUCUGUUCUCUUAAGAUUUAAGCAAUUUUAUCAACAGAAUUAAACCUUGGGUUUGUAAGAAAAGAUGUAGAUAAUUUCAUAAGCUUUCCAGAUUGUUAAAGAGUGCAUUCAUAUGAAUUAUGAAACUCCAGUUAUGUUUGUUUUACUGUGGCUGUUUCUGUUAGCCUGACAGAAAUGAGCGGGUCUGUUCACUGGAAGGUUUCAUCAAGUAAAUGGCCGAAUUGGCUCUCCCAGCUAUGGAGACUUUUGUAGAGGGAUAAAAGUUCUUACUUUCAGCAGACUUUCAUGAUUUUGGGUUGAGUAGUUUGUGAGAUAUCGAAUUUUGAAAGUUAACUAUGCUGCUGUCUAAAACAGAUUCAGUCAGUUAUCUUGUUAGAUGUUUUAGAACUUAUAGAUGGGAGAAUUUAAUUAUCCGUCGAAUACCGAAGUUGUAGAAUAUUUUGUGUAGAUACUCAUGGAGUAUUUGUUUGAUAUCAGCACUGUUAUAAUUUUAAAGAUACAAAAUUAACAAACAACAUUGUUGUUGUAUGGCAUGUGGUUCAGAGUGGGAGGUUUUCCACCAGGUCUUGGUUUCAGGUGUAGGAUCGAUUUGUUGAUUGUUGGCAAAUGUUUGUGAAAUAUUUGUACUAAGUUUUAUGCCCGCUAGCAGGUGGCUACACUCCAGAUCAUGCCUAGUACAUUUUUCUUCUUCAAUGAAGGCAAGUGAAUGUAGCGGUGGUUGCUUCCGUUCUGACCUGUUAUUUCUAUUGCCUACACUCUAAUAUUCAGAAGUAUUGGAUUCUUUCAUAAUUGGACUCUAUGGUGAUGCUUUACUUGCUUGCAUUAUACUGAUGCUCAAUCAUAUAUUGAUGAUGAUUAUGAUUCGAGUAUGACUCAUGAGAUUAAUUCACACCCCUGAAGGUAAAUGAAGUAUUAUUUGAGGUUGAUAUUGUAUUUGAAGGUAAAUGAAGUAUUAUUUGAGGUUGUAUUGUAUGUGAAGGAAGUGAAGUAUAUUGAUAAAUGCAGCAUGCCAUAUACAUUGCAUGAUUCACUUGCAUCUGAAGUUGGGUCGUGACCUAUGGUCCGACCGUACCGGUACAACUUAGCAUCGUACGUUGCCCGAGGAGGGGUACGAUGCGGCUUCAUACCCUUAGAGGUAUGAAGGCAGAGGACAUAUGCAUUGCAUUCAUAUGCAUUCAUUGAAGUGAUAUUUGCAUAUGAUGUGGUUUUAUACCCUCAGAGGUAUGAAGACAGAGUACCUACACUUUGUGUUCCUAUGCAUACAUUGAAGUGAUAUUUGCAGGUAUUGUUGACGCAGAGAAGUGUUAUACAAACUAUUGUGGUUGUUUAAGGAAAUGAGAUGGUAUUGGUUAUAUUGAGACUACUGAGUUCUAUAUCUACAAGAAUUUCUGAUCUUAAUUGUGAUUAUUUUAAAAUGUUGAUUAAUUCAAUUUGUGGUUUAAAUAUCUUAUCAAAACAAUUCGCUUGCUGAGAUGUUUCAUCUCACUCUUGCAUUACUCAAUGCAGGUGCUUGUUGCUCAUCAAGGGAAGUGGGAAGUAGCAGCUCAUCCACCUUCACUCUCAUAAUAACGCUGCUUAGGCGCAAUCAUGAUUUAAUUAGAAACUUCUUGUCAAAGGAUGUUGUUUCUAACUAGUUGUGCGCACUAGUUGAUUUAGUUCAUGCCGUUAUGGUUGUCUUUCCAUUGCUAGCAGAUUAUUAAUGUCUAUUAUGUUCUCUUAUCAUGAUAUAUGUUUAUAUUUUGUUGCUUCCCCAUUUAUGUAAUUUUCAAAGGGGAUGCUGUCGAAAUUUUAUAUAUGAAUGUUAGAUGUGUAGUUUAGUAGCAUUCUGGGUGUUUGAGGAUCUUGGGGUGUUACAUGUACAAUGGCACCGAUGAAGAUGACUUUUUGUACUGCCUCCGACCGGAUAAUAAGGAAAUAUUUGUAUGUCGGGAGAUGGCAAGAAACAUAGGAUUUCUGAAGCUCGAAGUUGGUCUUUCAGCAAUGUCGAAGGAUGACCUCGCAGACAGCCUUGCUUACAAUAGUCUGAAGGGCUUAAUCUUGAGCAACACUUUAAGAGCACAGAAAAAUGUUGAGGAUGAAAGUUGUCAAAUAGCCCUUGGUAACCUUCGUUCAGAGGUUAUCAAACUGAGGAAUGAAGCCAUAGAGAAGGAUAAAAUUCUGCUUUCCUUGGUAGACAGAGUUAAGGCUAGCGAAGCCAAUCUUGUUGCAUAGUCCGAAGCUCAUAGAACUGAAAUUGAAAACUUAAAGAAAAAACUUGUGGAAAAGAACGUGGAUUUUGAGGUAGCUAAAGAAAACUAAGAAAUAAGUGAAUGUACUAGCGCAAGGCUACAAAAGAAUGUAGAUGAGCUUCGAGAAUCGAAGGAAAGAUAUUACAAAAAAUUCUUGGAUUGCGCUAAGAAGUUGAAAGAUCAUUUUGCUAAGGUGGGUGCAUACUCAUCUAAACAAAAAUUUAUUAUGGGCGAUCCCGAAGGAAUCAUCGAAUGGAUCAGCGAAGAAGCUGAAGCCUUUGACGAGAUCCUUAGCGACAGUAGUGAUUUCUGCGUCUUCGCUGGUGCCAGAGGGGUUGCGGCAAUUUUGGAAAAAUCUGGCUGUGAACAUGUUAAAGCUGCAACCCAGACAGAGGCUGUCUUUACUUUAGAGAAUACGAAGGAUCCCUCGGCUGAGGCUACUCUGAUGGGCGGGAAAUUCUACUCCGAUAUUUGGAUGAAAGGCGACCGAGAAUUAGCCAACGAAGCUAUAAAGAAGAACGAGAAAGAAUCCCAUGAAGCCCGAGAAGAAGCCAAGAGAGCCGAAGAGGCUGCUGAGCGUGCAAAGCGCAUAGCUGAACUUUCACCACCACCCGAAGUCGAUCCAGCCAUGAAGGCGGCACUAGAAACCAUAAGAAUUGGCGAAGAAGCUAUUGACGAAGCUGUCACCAAGCUUCUAAACGAAGCUGCCGAAAUUUUUUUAAAGGAAGACUAGACUAUUAUGUUGUUAAGAAGUGUAACAUUUGGGAAAUGUAGUAUUCGUACAUGAGUUAAAUAUUGUAUAUCUGUAUGUGUAUUAAUAUAAUAUAUUUCUUUGCGAUGCAUGAAAUUUGCAUACAUACCA